rnacentral:rRNA from 1 species
UACAGAGGUCCCAAGCGUUGUUCGGAUUCAUUGGGCGUAAAGGGUGCGUAGGCGGCGCGGUAAGUCGGGUGUGAAAUCUCGGAGCUUAACUCCGAAACUGCAUUCGAUACUGCCGUGCUUGAGGACUGGAGAGGAGACUGGAAUUUACGGUGUAGCGGUGAAAUGCGUAGAUAUCGUAAGGAAUACCAGUGGCGAAGGCGGGUCUCUGGACAGUUCCUGACGCUGAGGCACGAAGGCCAGGGGAGCAAACGGG